rnacentral:misc_RNA from 1 species
UGGCCCCUUUCUUUGUUGGUACCAGAAUUGAACAAUCACCGUCAAUGACCACAUCGAUUGACACUUUGACGUUCUCAACAUCCACUUCGAAGUCAAAUAUUGUCUCGGCUCCAACGAUAUUUUCCUUUGAUCCAAUUGCAAGAAAACAAGAAGUCCCAUCCUAUUUUUGAAGUCAUGGUAAAAUAUGUAAAUCAUUAUUAACACUAAGCUACAAUGCUAUGAAGCACAAUCAAUAGUAACCUUUAUUUUUUUCGAGUUUGCAGGCCUCUUUGCUUCAUCUUCCUUACAUACAUUCACAUUUUCAUCUUCUAGUUCAACCACUUCUUUCAACUUUUUUUUAUGAGCAAUCAGUAAUCGAAUCUUCAUCUUCCUCACAAGCGCUCACCUUAUCUUCAUCUUUCUCUUCAACCACUUCUUCCACUUCAGCCUCUCUUGGUGUGUCUGUGUCAUCUUUCUCUUCACCUACUUCUUUCUCUUUUGAACAUUCUCCACUCUUCUUGUGUUUAAG